CAAUUCUACUAGGGGUGCCCGAAACGGGGCUGAGAGAAAAACCGAUGUUUUUUAACCCUUUGGACCUGAUCUGGAUUAUACCAGCGUAGGAAAGUAGCUAAGAUAAACA
rnacentral:ncRNA from 2 species